CCUACGGGUUGCACCAGUGGGGAAUAUAGGACAAUGGGCGCAAGCCUGAUCCAGCCAUGCCGCGUGAGUGAAGAAGGCCCUAGGGUUGUAAAGCUCUUUCACCGGUGAAGAUAAUGACGGUAACCGGAGAAGAAGCCCCGGCUAACUUCGUGCCAGCAGCCGCGGUAAUACGAAGGGGGCUAGCGUUGUUCGGAAUUACUGGGCGUAAAGCGCGCGUAGGCGGAUAGAUAAGUCAGAGGUGAAAUCCCGGGGCUCAACCCCGGAAUUGCCUUUGAUACUGUUUAUCUUGAGUGCAGAAGAGGUAAGUGGAAUUCCGAGUGUAGAGGUGAUAUUCGUAGAUAUUUGGAGGAGCACCAGUGGCGAAGGCGGCUUACUGGUCUGCAACUGACGCUGAGGCGCGAAAGCGUGGGGAGCAAACAGGAUUAGAUACCCCCGUAGUC
rnacentral:rRNA from 1 species